rnacentral:rRNA from 1 species
GGAGUCUGGACCGUGUCUCAGUUCCAAUGUGGGGGACCUUCCUCUCAGAACCCCUAGCCAUCGUCGGCACGGUGGGCCGUUACCCCGCCGUCUACCUAAUGGCACGCGAGCCGAUCCGUAUGCAAUAAAUCUUUCAACACCAGACCAUGCAGUCCGGUGUGUUACGGGGUAUUACGCGACGUUUCCAUCGACUAUCCCCCACAUACGGGCACGUUGCUCACGCGUUACUCACCCUUUCGCCGGUCGCCGGCAUGUAUUGCUACACCCGCUGCCCCUCGACUUGCAUGUGUUAAGCCUGCCGCUAGCGUUCAUC